GCCGAGCUUCACGCCGACGGACACGUGAGACUACGCAGUGACGUAGGCGUUGCCCAGGCAACUGACCGUCUUUCGCUCAAAGGGUGGGACGCCGAACCUGUGACCAGCGCCCGCACUAAGUCGUGACCUGUGUCUGCAAAAAAGCCUAAACUUAACCUGGCUUAAGAGCUACCACAGGUGCUGGAUUCUUCUAGAAAAUCUGUCACGUCGGCUUGGUCUCUCUUCGUUGUAAACACUGAUAACUGGAACCAGAACUUGAUGAAGAAAUGCAGAUUCCAGAAUCUUGGACAGAAAAUUUACAAGUUGAGAAGUAGCAAAUAUGAAGUGACAACCACGUUACUGUACAUGGAGUUAUUUAC